rnacentral:rRNA from 1 species
GACGAACGCUGGCGGCGCGCCUAACACAUGCAAGUCGAACGAGAGAUGAAGAGCUUGCUCUUCAAAUCGAGUGGCGAACGGGUGAGUAACGCGUGAGGAACCUGCCUCAAAGAGGGGGACAACAGUUGGAAACGGGCUGCUAAUACCGCAUAAGCCCACGGCUCGGCAUCGAGCAGAGGGAAAAGGAGCAAUCCGCUUUGAGAUGGCCUCGCGUCCGAUUAGCUAGUUGGUGAGGUAACGGCCCACCAAGGCGACGAUCGGUAGCCGGACUGAGAGGUUGAACGGCCCACAUUGGGACUGAGACACGGCCCAGACUCCUACGGGAGGCAGCAGUGGGGAAUAUUGCACAAUGGGGGAAACCCUGAUGCAGCGACGCCGCGUGGAGGAAGAAGGUCUUCGGAUUGUAAACUCCUAGUUUGUUUGAGGAAGAUAAUGACGGUACUCAACAAGGAAGUGACGGNUAACUACGUG